GUCCAGAAGACUAAUGCCUAAGAAUAAGUUCUCUGAAGAUGUUGUCUUGUUUUGGUAGUAAUUUAUUAGUAUGAAAGGACAAUGUCUUAUAAUAAGAAGUCUAGGUUUUACUUUGUUUUGUUAUAGUGAAUAGUCUGUAAUGGUAAUCUUAUCAUUUUGAGUCUUCAGUUUGGAUCCUCAUCUUCCUUUGCAGAGGUGUGUGGAUUGGUAUACUGUGG
rnacentral:misc_RNA from 1 species